CACAAACAAGUCGCAAUCUUAACUGCUGACAAGAUGCCGCAGGUGGAGGAAACAAAAAAACAGGAUUGGGACGGAUAAGCAUGAAAUAGCUUGAAGAAAAGCAGAAGUCACAGCUUUCUGUUUUCCUAAAAAUUCAGUUAUGUCCUUUGGCAGCAUGGCACAAAUGCAGAUGGCCUAAAGAUACUCUGUUCAUACUUACAGAGAAAUUUUCUUCUUCACUGCAAUUGGGAGUCUAUUUCCCCAUUGCUUUAUCAGCAACAGAGUAGCACAUACAAGCAGCUCUGAGGAUGUUCAAAUGCUGAUGCAAAUUCUGAAACAGCAGGAAUGUUUGGCAGCUACAUGGAUGCUGCAACAGGCUGACACCCACAGGCACAGAUGUAACACGGUGAAAUAUACAGGUCUGCAGUAAACCCUGAUCCCACUAUCAAAUACAGCUGUACCAGUCACAUGCUGGGGAUUUCCCAGCUGCAGAGUCUAUCUCCCACAGCACACGCAGUUAAAAACAAUUCAGUCACUAUGUAAUCAGCAACCAUGUGACAAUUUCAUUUUCUCUCUCAAAAGAUUGAAACAAAUUUGGAUUCAAAAAGACUGUGGCUCAGUCACCAAUUUUUUCUGCACUGUCACUGUGACUCUCUGCAUUUAUCACACUGCUGUAGGGUUGUAUUUGCUUUUACAGAAGGAAACAGGAAGUCAGAUGAAAGAAUUGCACUAAUGGCCCUACCCUUGGAAGGCAUUUGAUUUAAAAUACUAAAGCAAGAAGGUGUAUGUUCAAGCCACAUUUUUAUCAUGUGCAACUGGCUAAUCCUUCUGAAUGCUGAUCAAAUUUGAAUGCUCACUGCAAAAUAUACAGUGUGCUCUACUCCUGGAGAGCAGUCUUCAACAUCACUAACAAUCACCUAGAUGCUAUAGUUCCUUCAACAUCCCUCAUAUCAUCCCACAGAAUUUACUAUUCCCCACUCUAAAACAGGAAAGAAGAACUCAGCAAAGUUUAGGAUAAAAAGAAGGCAAGUCCUACAGUCACACAGGAGUUGGAGCCACAGAGGCAGAAUGCACAAAAAUAAAAGAGGACCUGCUGCAUAAAACCA
rnacentral:lncRNA from 1 species